rnacentral:rRNA from 1 species
GACGAACGCUGGCGGCGUGCCUAAUACAUGCAAGUAGAACGCACAGUUUAUACCGUAGCUUGCUACACCAUAGACUGUGAGUUGCGAACGGGUGAGUAACGCGUAGGUAACCUGCCUGGUAGCGGGGGAUAACUAUUGGAACCAAUACCUAAUACCGCAUAUUAUUAAUUAUUGCUUGAUAAUUAAUUGAAAGUUCCAAUUGAACACUACCCAAAUGGACCUGCGUUUUAUUAGAUGUUAGGUGAGUUAACGGCGCACCUAGGCGCCGAUACAUACCCGACCUGAGAGGGUGAUCGGCCAACCUGGGACUGGGACAAGGCCCAGACUCCUACGGGAGGCAGCAGUAGGGAAUCUUCGGCAAUGGACGAAAGUCUGAGCGAGCAACGCCGCGGGAGUGAAGAAGGUUUUCGGAUCGUAAAGCUCUGUUGUAAGAGAAGAACGGGGGUGAGAGUGGAAAGUUCACACUGUGACGGUAUCUUACCAGAAAGGGACGGCUAACUACGUG